GGCGUGACUCCAAUGAACGCAGGCUUCACCCCUUGUGGUGCUCCCCCGCCAAUUCCUUUAAGUUCAUACUUGCGUACGUACUUCCCAGGCGGCAGACUUAACGGCUUCCCUGCGGCACUGCAUUGGCCACAAGCCAAUGCAUCACCGAGUCUGCAUCGUUUACAGCUGGGACUACUCGGGUACCUAAUCCGGUUUGCUCCCCCAGCUUUCAUCCCUCACCGUCGAACGUGUUCUGGUACACCGCCUUCGCCACAGGUGGUCUUCAAUAGAUCAAAGGAUUUUACCCCUUCCUAUCGAGUACCGUGUACCUCUCCCACUCCCUAGCUGCACAGUAUUUUCGGCGGCCUAUACGUUAAGCGCAUAGAUUUAACCGAAAACUUAUGCAACCGGCUACGGAUGCUUUAGGCCCAAUAAACCUCCUGACCACUCGAGGUGCUGGUUUUACCGCGGCGGCUGACACCAGAACUUGCCCACCCCUUAUUCACCAGUGAUUCUACAACUGACAAAAGACUCCUUUAGCAGGAGACACUCGGAUUAACCUUGUCGUGCUUUCGCACAUUGCAAAGGUUUCU
rnacentral:rRNA from 1 species